CCCGUGACUUCCUUCCUGCUCUGCCCUGUGCUGCAAACAGCUGUGCCUCCCUGGACACUCUUAGAGAGACCCUGCAGCUGAAAUUUGAUGUUGGUUUUGGCCUGCGUGGUGGAGUGCACUGGCUGCCCAGCACACACCCCCACACCAUGAACACAGCUGGGAUGGGCUAAACCUAGAGUGUUUGCUGAUUUAAAGGUAAGAAGCAACAGUACCAGUGGGCUCUUCUGUCUGUUACUGCUCUCCCAGAGAGGCAUGGAAAGGUUCCAGCAAGCACCUGCAGCUGGUUGGGAGAUAACUGGGGGUACAGAAGCUGGAAACCCCCAUUCUCCCUGCCCAGCACCCUGUCCUGGCCAAGGUGCAGGUGGAGAGGGGCGAGGGGCUGGCAGCUGUGGUGGUCUCACCCGGAAAUCUAUGCCCACGGUGGCUAUGAACGUCCCGGAGAGAAAGGCCCCGUCUUUGAACUGGAGCAGGAAGCAGGUUUUCCCCACGCCCGAGUCUCCAAGUAACAUCACCUGCAAGAUGGGCGCAGGGAGAGAUGUCAGCAGGACAGGGAGGGAGCAGCACCCCUGACUGGUGCUGAGCCCUCCCCUGUUCCUUCUCUCCCUUCGUUUCUCUCCCUAGGGCUGGUCCUGGUGGGUCUGGAAAGCCCCCUGGGAGCUGGGUGUGGGUGGGACCCCUGAGGGUGCGGCCAAGCAGUGCCCCAGGGCAGCAGGGCAGCCCCCAGCCGUGAAAAAGCAGGAGAGCUGGUGUGAAAGCAAGUACUGCAGCAAGAAGAGCCAGGCCCUGGCCAUCUCCCAGCCCAGCAGGCUCCUAGAGAACCAGCCACAGCACCCAAAUACGUGGAGCCAGCUCCCACGCUUUGCCCCUGACCCAGGUGUGCCCAGCCCAAGGGCUGAUGCCUGGCUUGGGCAAACCCUGCAUGUCCGGGACUCUCUCCCUGUUGGUGCCUGCUGCAGACACCAAAGCAAACAUGGUGCCUUUCCCCUCCUGCUAAGCAAACAGGAUCAGCCCAGGCUCUCCAGCCACUCCAGCACUGCCAGACUCAGGCAGGGAGCAGCCGAGACCAACGCUGGACUCCAUAAGCACAGCCUUUCCCGAUGCUGUGUUCUUUCUGCCUACCUGCAGCAACCUGUUCCUGCACAGCAAUCAUUAACCUGACUGCAUCAUUUUUCACCCUUAUGAAAAAUAGCAGUGAGCAGGACUUCAGCAGGAAGGUUCAUCCCUGCAUGCCCACCUGACAGGAUGCUGGAGCUUGCAAAGUAAAUCUCUGCAGCCCUGCUGCCUCUGGGGCAGGCAAACACAGCGGGCCGUGGCCACCUUCUCCAGGGCUGGCACAGCAAAUACCAAAGCUGGUGGCUGGAAAUGCUCUGCUUCCUUCUACCACUUUGCUGGUCAAAUCCUUCCCCAGGACUUGUGGGGAGCUGGGAACACUGCUCAGUUCUGCCUCCACCUCACUCUAGACCAAGCUGAAAACUGGUUUUCUCCCUCGAACAUGGAAAUUGCCCUCUAUGAGGAGGAGUCAGAGAGGGGAGGAUAAAGGCAAAGGAAUAAAAGCAGUUUAGAGAA